rnacentral:misc_RNA from 1 species
UUUCCGUAGGUGAACCUGCGGAAGGAUCAUUCAUAAUAAAGUGUUUUAUGGCACUUUUUAAAAAUCCAUAUCCACCUUGUGUGCAAUGUUAGAUCUCGUCAAUCUUGGCGAGAUUUUUAUACAUCAACUCAUUCUUUAACUAAUUUAUCUGAAAAAUAUUAUGAAUACUUAAUUCAAAAUACAACUUUCAACAACGGAUCUCUUGGCUCUC